rnacentral:rRNA from 1 species
GGUUUGAUUAUGGCUCAGAUUGAACGCUGGCGGGAUGCUUUACACAUGCAAGUCGAACGGCAGCACGGACUUUGGUCUGGUGGCGAGUGGCGAACGGGUGAGUAAUGUAUCGGAACGUGCCUAGUAUGGAUAACUACGCGAAAGCGUAGCUAAUACCGCAUACACCCUUCGGGGGAAAGCGGGGGACCUUCGGGCCUCGCACUAUUAGAGCGGCCGAUAUCGGAUUAGCUAGUUGGUGGGCAACGGCUCACCACAGACGAUCCGUAGCUGGUUUGAGAGGACGACCAGCCACACUGGGACUGAGACACGCCCAGACUCCUACGGGAGGCAGCAGUGGGGGAAUUUUGAUAAUGGGAAACCCUGAUCCAGCCACUCGCGUGUGCGAUGAAGGCCUUCGGGUUGUAAAGCACUUUUGGCAGGAAGAAACGGCACGGGGAUAAUACCCCGUGCAACUUGACGGUACCUGCAGAAUAAGCACCGGCUAACUACGUGCCAGCAGCUGCGGUAAUACGUAGGGUGCAAUGCGUUAAUCGGAAUUACUGGGCGUAAAGCGUGCGCAGGCGGUUCGGAAAGAAAGAUGAAAUCCCAGAGCUUAACUUUGGAACUGCAUUUUUAACUACCGAGCUAGAGGUCAGAGUGGAGGUGGAAUUCCGCGUGUAGCAGUGAAAUGCGUAGAUAUGCGGAGGAACACCGAUGGCGAAGGCAGCCUCCUGGGAUAACACUGACGCUCAUGCACGAAAGCGUGGGGAGCAAACAGGAUUAGAUACCCUGGUAGUCCACGCCCUAAACGAUGUCAACUAUUGUUGGGGCCUUGGCCCUGGUAGCGCAGCUAACGCGUGAAGUUGACCGCCUGGGGAGUACGGUCGCAAGAUUAAACUCAAAGGAAUUGACGGGGACCCGCACAAGCGGUGGAUGAUGAUUAAUUCGAUGCAACGCGAAAACCUACCCACCCUUGACAUGUCUGGAAUCCCGAAGAGAUUUGGGAGUGCUCGCAAGAGAACCGGAACACAGGUGCUGCAUGGCUAUGUCAGCUCGUGUCGUGAGAUGUUGGGUUGGGUCCUGCAACGAGCGCAAAUCCUUGCCGAAGUUGUUACGAAAGGGCACUCUAAUGAGACUGCCGGUGACAAACCGGAGGAAGGUGGGGAUGACGUCAAGUCCUCAUGGCCCUUAUGGGUAGGGCUUCACACGUCAUACAAUGGUCGGGACAGAGGGUCGCCAACCCGGCGAGGGGGAGCCAAUCCCGCAGAAACCCGAUCGGAACGAUCGCCUGCAACUCGACUGCGUGAAGUCGGAAUCGCUAGUAAUCGCGGAUCAGCACGUCGCGGUGAAUACUAGUUCCCGGCUGGUGGACACACCGCCCGUCACACCAUGGAGUGGGUUUACCUAGUAAAGUUGCCAGCUCAAUCGUGGCGAGGGCGAUUACCACGGCAGAUUCAUGACUGGGUGAAGUCGUAACAAGGUAACCC